rnacentral:rRNA from 1 species
AUUGAACGCUGGCGGCAGGCCUAACACAUGCGAGUCGAACGGUAACAGGAAGAAGCUUGCUUCUUUGCUGACGAGUGGCGGACGGGUGAGUAAUGUCUGGGAAACUGCCUGAUGGAGGGGGAUACUACUGGAAACGGUAGCUAAUACCGCAUAAUGUCGCAAGACCAAAGAGGGGGACCUUCGGGCCUCUUGCCAUCGGAUGUGCCCAGAUGGGAUUAGCUAGUAGGUGGGGUAACGGCUCACCUAGGCGACGAUCCCUAGCUGGUCUGAGAGGAUGACCGGCCACACUGGAACUGAGACACGGUCCAGACUCCUACGGGAGGCAGCAGUGGGGAAUAUUGCACAAUGGGCGCAAGCCUGAUGCAGCUAUGCCGCGUGUAUGAAGAAGGCCUUCGGGUUGUAAAGUACUUUCAGCGGGGAGGAAGGGAGUAAAGUUAAUACCUUUGCUCAUUGACGUUACCCGCAGAAGAAGCACCGGCUAACUCCGUG